ACAAACGGUUAAUGUGUUUGGCUGCUAAACAAAAGGUUGGUGGUUCAAAUCCACC
rnacentral:tRNA from 1 species